rnacentral:rRNA from 1 species
AUAGAGCUUCCCAUGGCGCCUGUUUAUCAAAAACAUGGUUUUUUGUGAUUGUAAGAAAUCUGGUCUGCUCACUGCUAAGUGUAAAUAGCCGCAGUAUUUUGACUGUGCUAAGGUAGCAUAAUCAUUUGCCUUUUAAUUGAAGGCUGGCAUGAAUGAUUUGACGUGAUAAAGUCUGUCUCUAAGAAAGAAAGUAUGAAGUUGAUUAGUUAGUAAAAAGGCUACUAUGGAUCUGAGGGACGAUAAGACCCUAUUAAGCUUAAUUUUAGAAUUUUGCUGGGGUGGUAAUUUAAGAUUAGAAUCUUAAUAGAAGUGAAUAUAAUGUAGGGACCCAAUAUUAUUGAGUAUUAGAUAAAGCUACUAUAGGGAUAACAGCUUAAUUUUUUUAGUGAGUUCUUAUUUUAAAGAAAGUUUGUGACCUCGAUGUUGAAUUAAGGGUUCUGUUUGGUGAAGCCGCUAAAUAAGAGAGUCUGUUCGACUCUUAAACCUUUACGUGAUCUGAGUUCAGACCGGCCAUGG